GAGACAUCAUCCCUUAGGACUUUCUUAAGUUAAAAAUUUGACCUCUCUAAUUUCUUGAGAAUCUUUCCCCAUUUCAGUACAAUGCAAAAAUUGGUUUAAUAAUUCCAACUUUCUGCUGACUUUUCCAGAUGAGAACGUGGAAGGUCAGAAUCACCCAUCUGGAGGGUAUUGAAGGUCAAUUUGAACCCAGCAGACUGACUUUCAAGACUAAACUCUCAGCCCAACAUGUUGUCCUUGAGGAGUCUGUAACUGGAGUGGAAGACACACUAACUAGUAAUCAAGGGCACAGUGUUCCACCCCUCUGGAGGAUGCAGCAACAAGGGCACAUCUUGGAAGCAGGGAGCAACCCUCACCAGACAAGUGAACUUGCCAGUACCCUGGUUUUGAAGUCCCCAGGUUCCAGAAUGGUG